rnacentral:rRNA from 1 species
GAUGAACGCUGGCGGCGUGCCUAAUACAUGCAAGUCGAGCGAACAGACGAGGAGUUUGCUCCUCUGACGUUAGGGGCGGACGGGUGAGAAAAAUGGGGAUAACCUACCUAAAAGAGAGGGAUAAUUUGGGGAAACGGGAGAAAAAACAGUAUAAAAUAUUGAACCGCUUGGUUAAAUGGGAAAGGACGGUUUGGUGGACACUAAUGGGGGGAAAAGAGCGGCUUUAGGAGGUUGGGAAGGAAAGGGCUUACCAAGGGAACGAUGCGUUGCCAACCUGAAGGGCUGGUCGGCCACACUGGAACUGUGGCACGCUCCCGACUCCUACGGGAGGCAGCAGUAGGGAAUCUUCCGCAAUGGGCGAAAACCUGACGGAGCAACGCCGAGUGAGUGAUGAAAGUCUUCUGAUCGUAAAACUCUGUUAUUAGGGAAGAACAAAUGUGUAAGUAACUAUGCACGUCUUGACGGUACCUAAUCAGAAAGCCACGGCUAACUACGUG